rnacentral:rRNA from 1 species
GGGACACGUGGUAUCCUGUCUGAAUAUGGGGGGACCAUCCUCCAAGGCUAAAUACUCCUGACUGACCGAUAGUGAACCAGUACCGUGAGGGAAAGGCGAAAAGAACCCCGGCGAGGGGAGUGAAAAAGAACCUGAAACCGUGUACGUACAAGCAGUGGGAGCCUCUUAAUGGGGUGACUGCGUACCUUUUGUAUAAUGGGUCAGCGACUUAUAUUCUGUAGCAAGGUUAACCGAAUAGGGGAGCCGAAGGGAAACCGAGUCUUAACUGGGCGUUAAGUUGCAGGGUAUAGACCCGAAACCCGGUGAUCUAGCCAUGGGCAGGUUGAAGGUUGGGUAACACUAACUGGAGGACCGAACCGACUAAUGUUGAAAAAUUAGCGGAUGACUUGUGGCUGGGGGUGAAAGGCCAAUCAAACCGGGAGAUAGCUGGUUCUCCCCGAAAGCUAUUUAGGUAGCGCCUCGUGAAUUCAUCUCCGGGGGUAGAGCACUGUUUCGGCAAGGGGGUCAUCCCGACUUACCAACCCGAUGCAAACUGCGAAUACCGGAGAAUGUUAUCACGGGAGACACACGGCGGGUGCUAACGUCCGUCGUGAAGAGGGAAACAACCCAGACCGCCAGCUAAGGUCCCAAAGUCAUGGUUAAGUGGGAAACGAUGUGGGAAGGCCCAGACAGCCAGGAUGUUGGCUUAGAAGCAGCCAUCAUUUAAAGAAAGCGUAAUAGCUCACUGGUCGAGUCGGCCUGCGCGGAAGAUGUAACGGGGCUAAACCAUGCACCGAAGCUGCGGCAGCGACACUAUGUGUUGUUGGGUAGGGGAGCGUUCUGUAAGCCUGUGAAGGUGUACUGUGAGGUAUGCUGGAGGUAUCAGAAGUGCGAAUGCUGACAUAAGUAACGAUAAAGCGGGUGAAAAGCCCGCUCGCCGGAAGACCAAGGGUUCCUGUCCAACGUUAAUCGGGGCAGGGUGAGUCGACCCCUAAGGCGAGGCCGAAAGGCGUAGUCGAUGGGAAACAGGUUAAUAUUCCUGUACUUGGUGUUACUGCGAAGGGGGGACGGAGAAGGCUAUGUUGGCCGGGCGACGGUUGUCCCGGUUUAAGCGUGUAGGCUGGUUUUCCAGG